UCCACGCCGUAAACGAUGAUUACUCGUUGUGUGCGAUACACUGUACGCGACUGAGCGAAAGCAUUAAGUAAUCCACCUGGGGAGUACGAUCGCAAGGUUGAAACUCAAAGGAAUUGACGGGGGCCCGCACAAGCGGUGGAACAUGUGGUUUAAUUCGAUGAUACGCGAGGAACCUUACCUGGGCUUAAAUGCAGAACGACAGUUCCCGAAAGGGAAUCUUCUCGGACGGACUGCAAGGUGCUGCAUGGUUGUCGUCAGCUCGUGCCGUGAGGUGUCGGUUAAGUCCCAUAACGAGCGCCAACCCCUAUCGUUAGUUGCCAGCGGAUAAUCGGCCGGGACUCUAACGAGACGUCGCCGG
rnacentral:rRNA from 1 species